UACGAAGGGGGCUAGCGUUGUUCGGAAUUACUGGGCGUAAAGCGCACGUAGGCGGACAUUUAAGUCAGGGGUGAAAUCCCAGAGCUCAACUCUGGAACUGCCUUUGAUACUGGGUGUCUUGAGUGUGGAAGAGGUCAGUGGAAUUGCGAGUGUAGAGGUGAAAUUCGUAGAUAUUCGCAGGAACACCAGUGGCGAAGGCGGCUGACUGGUCCACAACUGACGCUGAGGUGCGAAAGCGUGGGGAGCAAAC
rnacentral:rRNA from 2 species